rnacentral:rRNA from 1 species
CCUACGGGUGGCAGCAGUGGGGAAUAUUGCACAAUGGGCGAAAGCCUGAUGCAGCGACGCCGCGUGAGCGAAGAAGUAUUUCGGUAUGUAAAGCUCUAUCAGCAGGGAAGAUAAUGACGGUACCUGACUAAGAAGCACCGGCUAAAUACGUGCCAGCAGCCGCGGUAAUACGUAUGGUGCAAGCGUUAUCCGGAUUUACUGGGUGUAAAGGGAGCGCAGGCGGUGCGGCAAGUCUGAUGUGAAAGCCCGGGGCUCAACCCCGGUACUGCAUUGGAAACUGUCGUACUAGAGUGUCGGAGGGGCAAGCGGAAUUCCUAGUGUAGCGGUGAAAUGCGUAGAUAUUAGGAGGAACACCAGUGGCGAAGGCGGCUUACUGGACGAUAACUGACGCUGAGGCUCG